GAUUAACGCUAGCGGCAGGCCUAAUACAUGCAAGUUGUACGGGAUUAUUGGUAGCAAUACUGAUAUGAGAGUAGCGCACGGGUGCGUAACACGUAUGCAACCUACCUUUAACUGGGGAAUAGCCUUCCGAAAGGAAGAUUAAUACCGCAUAACAUUGCGAAACGACAUCGUUUUGCAAUUAAACCUACGGGGGUUAGAGAUGGGCAUGCGUCCGAUUAGCUAGUUGGCGGGGAAUAGCCCACCAAGGCAACGAUCGGUAGGGGUCUGAGAGGAUGACUCCCCACACUGGUACUGAGACACGGACCAGACUCCUACGGGAGGCAGACAGUAAGGAAUAUUGG
rnacentral:rRNA from 1 species